UUGAUAUCUAAUAACCAAACAAAACGGCGACAAAUGUUGGGACAAGAUGACUGUAUGGAUCAAGUUCAACCACAGGGGCCCGAAAUAAAACGUUUUAAUUCACUCUAAAGUUUUCAAUGAAACUCCAUAUGUGUUAAAGUCCAGGAGAGGGAGUUUGAUCAACGUUCGCCGUCGCCUGGUCUUUUGAUGUGUCUCCUAAUCGGGCAGAUCGUCAAUGAACGGAGCAGAAGGACGAGGAGGACGGACAGGCAGACACAUUCAAUAGCUUACAAGGAUGACUGAAAGAAAGCAAGGCAUACAUUUCCACUAAUGUCGAUUAUUGUAUGAAAACUCAAAUUAAAAGGUGUUUCUGUGCAAGUUUCUAAUUGAACUUAUACAUCAACUUCUGAGACUUGUUGAUGUCUUUGAUAUUUAAGGUUUGUUAUGGCUGUCCCUACUGUCAGUCUUAGGCAACUUAGCUGUCAUCACCAAAUGUAUAACACUCGAGAAACAUUGAUUCCGUUUUAAUCUAUAUAAAAAAUAGUAAUAGGCCACAGCCUGCUAUCUGAAAUCCCUUUUUCAUCCGCCUCAUUCAAGUUAAGCAAAGUGUUCGAUUCAAUUCAAUCUCAUAUCAUGUCUGCUAUCGCAGUCAUUUCGAGUUUGGUUUCACUUUUUCCAAACUGUGUUUAUGAGUGUAUCUGUGAAAAACCUAAUAACUUUGAUAGACUAUACAAGUGAUGUAAGGAUGUUGAACACAUUCAGCAAGAAAAAAAAAUUGAAAAAUUGUGCAAUCUGUGAGGAAAUAGACUAACUUCCCCUUUAUAAUAAAUGUAUGUUAAAAUGUAUUUAAUCUUCCAUUCAAACCGAUUGAUUAAAAUAAAAGCAGCAUCAGCCCCCAUUCAAAUGUUGUGUCAAAUGUAUGGACGUGGUGUCAGUAGAGUUUGUAUUAAAAGGGUAGCGAACCGUAACAGAAGAAAACAAACACAAAAAACCCUCAUAAACAUUUACACGACAACAAACGGAAUAGGUUACUGCCCCACAUGGAAAACCUUAAUGUUGUACACUUUAGAGGAAAACCAAUUGAAAUAGAACGACAGAAACACAGCCCAAACGAGGGUCUUCUAGUUUAGAGAUUUGGAAAUGUUUGCCACCGCAUCAUAUUGCUUUUUUCCCACAAGGCUUUGGCAUUUGCACCAGCAGUGAACACACACAUAGCCUACAACACACACAACAGUGCGGAUGUUAGUGGUCACUACCCAAACCCCAGCUACACAUAAAUUGAUCUGUCCACUAAUUUGGAAUGUGGAUAAAAAAAACAGUGUAUGUUGAUCUAUCUAAUAGAAGGCUAUGCGUAAAAUGAACAAAUGCAAUGGAUGGCAAACCAACGUGAAUAGCCUACGCCCGUUUCUUAUCAGAGAGCUCAAAAGGAAUAGGAACGAAUAACAUCGAAUACAAUUUGAUUCCCCGGAAAGGACACAGGGAAUAUAGGAGAGCAUCAGACCACAGUUGACGCAGAGGCGCGAGACAUCCUAACACACGCCACCUAUCUUCAAGAAGAGGGAUAAUUGAGGAGUAAGUGUGAGCGUCCUUGUGGACAGGGAGAAUGUGAUCAAGUUGUUGUCUCCCAUGAGAUUGUAUAUGAUCAUUUGUAGGCUGUGCUUUGAGUCAAAUGUGAGAGGCAUUACCCACACAUCAGAUUUUCAAUAGCGACGUCAUAAAAUAAAUAAAACAGCACUGUACUGGAGUGAGAGAGAAGGUAUUUAUAAUGCGGUGACAGCCACUCUUCAAACUGGCAUAUGAAAGGAGCGCCAAGGUACCUGAUUGGAGCGCACAGGUAGUUUACCUGCACGCAUACGGCUCCCUUCCGGCAAGUAUUCAGAGGCACUACAGCAGAUAUCUCUGCCUUUGUAUCUUGACUGAGGGAGUGUAUAUUCUCAUUCAAAUUGUGCUGUGCCAUUCCGCACUGUAAUCUUUGUACAAAAACGAAGGAGGGAAGAUGCAGCAUAUUUUCAACGGGGCUCUCACUGGCAUUAACGAUACACGCUACGGUGAAGGCGUAAUUUAUAGUCUGCAAAUAUGCAUAUCCUUCUGUAGAGUGGCUUUUGUAAUAGUGUUAAAUGUUUAGCACAGUUCGUUUUAAUUUUUAUCAUCACUUGUACAGUAACAUAAUGUGCAGCGGAGAGUUACACCCAUGGUUUGUGGUUGUUAAAGUAUUCUCUGUGUUUAUGUAUUUUCUAUAUGGAUGAUACGCUCACCAAUGAAUGGAAUAUGAUGCGUCCACUCAUAGCCAAUUGGAUUAGACUGGAGCUCAUUCCAGAGCAGGAAUAUGAGAACUGGAUAAAGAUGCUAUCAGAUUUCGAUGCCAGAGUGCAGUGGGCUUGAAGACAUCUACUGUCAGUGGGGCAUCCUCUCCUCUCUUCUAGAAGAACAGCGUUUUAUGAACAGUUGUCCUGACUCCGAGUUUGAUCAAGUAUAUGUAUCAUAGUUCCAUAAUUGCCUAAAUCCUCAAUUAGCUUUUGAUCAUGUAGAAUGGCAUAUACUCCCAUGAUCUAAAUUAUAUUCCCACCCACUGGGCACACACUGAAAUUACGUUGGAUCAAUGUGGAAUAGAAGCUGAAUUGACGUUUCUGCCCAAUGGGAACUAACGUGGUUGAUUUGGAAAAUGAACCACAAAUAUUUUUUGAAACCAUACUUACCUCAAUGUGAUUCAAAAUAUAUAUUUUUUGAAACCAGACUUACCUCAAUGUGAUUAAAACAAUUGUUUUGAAAAAAUGUAUUUGCAGUUUUAUGAAAAAGUUGUGUGUAUAAAAGUACAUUUAAGAUCAAUGUUUUGUCCCUGCUAGCAGAUGGCUUUUGGGAAGAAAAUAACAAAU